rnacentral:rRNA from 1 species
GAUGAACGCUGGCGGCGUGCCUAAUACAUGCAAGUCGAGCGAAUGGAUUAAGAGCUUGCUCUUAUGAAGUUAGCGGCGGACGGGUGAGUAACACGUGGGUAACCUGCCCAUAAGACUGGGAUAACUCCGGGAAACCGGGGCUAAUACCGGAUAACAUUUUGAACCGCAUGGUUCGAAAUUGAAAGGCGGCUUCGGCUGUCACUUAUGGAUGGACCCGCGUCGCAUUAGCUAGUUGGUGAGGUAACGGCUCACCAAGGCAACGAUGCGUAGCCGACCUGAAAGGGAGACCGGCCACCCUGGGACUGAGACACGGCCCAGACUCCUACGGGAGGCAGCAGUAGGGAAUCUUCCGCAAUGGACGAAAGUCUGACGGAGCAACGCCGCGUGAGUGAUGAAGGCUUUCGGGUCGUAAAACUCUGUUGUUAGGGAAGAACAAGUGCUAGUUGAAUAAGCUGACACCUUGACGGUACCUAACCAGAAAGCCACGGCUAACUACGUGCCAGCCGCCGCUGUAA